GAAAGCAAACAAGGUGCCCAACUGCCCAUGGUUUGCCUCCAAGCUCAACUUGAAAGUGAAGGAACAAAAAAUUUUGCCUACCUAAUAAGGCCCCGUUUGGGCUAGGUUUUAUUGAUGUUUUUUUACUAAAAAAAUUAUUUUGUGUGUGUGCGCUUGUGAUGAAUUUAUUUAGUAUGAGUUUAUUAGGUAAAAUAUUUCAGUGUCUUUAAUUACUCCAAAAAACACAAGUGUUUUAGCCCCCAAACGAGGCCUAAAUAAUCUCAAAGAGAAUAUUCACACGUUGCUUUUUUGGAAUGCUUAACAUUGAUAUCAUGUUGCUCUUGACAUGAUAUAAUAAAUAAAUAACUAAAUAAAUAAUAAUAUAAUAAAUAAAUAUAUUAAACUAUUUCUCUAAUUUGCUAAUUUAUUUUCUUAUGAGAGGGUGUUUGAUUCGGGUAAAUAUGAUGAUGGGACUUGAAAGCAAUAGAAAGUGAAAUGAAAGAAAAAGAAAGUCUUGGAUGCUUUUGGUUAAUGAUGAAAGUUACGUAAGAAAAUUAUAAUUAAAUGAUCUCUACAGAUUGUAACGUACAAGAAAUCAGGGGAAAAACAGGGUUAAUUGCACUUUGCCUCCUUAAAGUAAUGAGCGAUUCCCAUUUUGGGUCGUACAAAAAUUUUACUCCGUAAUUUCUUGUAUUUUCUCCUAUAGUCAUGCUAAAUAAUAAGAAAAUAUUUUCUUGUUUCUUUAUUUUUCAUUAUUUUCAUUCUAACUAAACGUAAAUAAAGUAAAAAAAAACCUUUCAUAAAUUAAUGAUUGACAUAAACGCUUCAUUUUAUUUUGAAUAUUCUCAAUUGAAGGCAAACAACUAUGGACCAUCUAAAAUAUGACAUUUUAUACAGUGGCGGACGCAGAAAUUACGUUUAGGGGGGCUAAAUUAUAUAUUUUCAAUGGACAAAAGUCUGAGGGAGUCAGUUAUGUAUACUUUAAUAGACCAAUAGCAAAAUAAUCAAAACUAAUAGAGAUUUUUCAAAUGUUUGCCACUGGCAUUAACCACGCUAUCUAAAGGGUCUUGCGUGACGCGUAUUUGGAUCAUAUCAAAUAUAGUAGCCAAAUAUCACCACAUACUAUUAUUGCAGUUUCUUGAACCAUAUUGAUUUAGUUUCUAAAAAGACCAAACAAGAAUCUCAUUUUUCUCUUAUUAAAGGUGAUCACUUUAUUCAUUAAAAUGAAAUACAUAAUUGAAAAACUCGACUUUAAUACUUAAAAGAUACCACUUCAGCAUGAUGACUUGGUAUCAAUACGCAAAACUUUCUUCUAUCGUAGGUAUGUCUUUUGUGUGACUAAACAAGAACAUGUGUAUUCAACAAAUACAGGACAAUGAAAUGCCAGGUCCAAUCUGCCACGCUAAUUAAUAAUGGUAAAUUACAUAUCAUAUCCUUGUACUUUAAUUGAUAUUGCACAUUGUACCCUUCAAUUUUGAUUGUAACAGUCAACACUUUAUACUUUAGAUCAAUUGUCAACAUAUUUUUAUGUUACAAAAAGUGGCAAAAAAAGGACAUGUGGACUGAAGGGUCACGUUGACACUUGACCUAAAGAGUAAGUGAAGGGUGAAAGGUGAAAUUUUAGUAAAAUUUUAGGAGUGAGAAAAGACUAAUUUUUCCAAAAUUUAAAAUCCGUGGUGCGUGUGAAUAUGUCCACCGUCGUGGUGGUGCCCUACAUGAAUGUGUCCACCAUCGUGGUGGUGCCCCGUGUGAAUGUGUUCACCGUCGUGGUGAUGCCCCACAUGAAUGUGUCCACCAUCGUGGUGGUGCCCCAUGUGACUGUGUCCACCGUCGUGACCAUGGUUGUGGUGCCCCGUAUGCCCGUGAUGUGUAUGAUCUUGUCCACCGUGGUGUCCACAUUCAUGGUGUUGGUUGUCACCUCCGUCGUCACCUCCACCGCCACCAUCGUCGGCAUCACCUCCAUCAGCGCCUUUGUCGCCACCACCGUCACGGUGAUGGUGCUCACCUGGAUCAUCAUCAUCACAACAGGCUAGAACCACCAUAGAUAUGAUGGACAGUGACACCACAAUACCACACACCAACAUCAACAAACCACUAGAGAUUGGUAAAACACCGCCAUAAUCGCUUAUGGGAUUCAAGAUUCUAGCCAUCUUAAUUGAUAUCUUUUCAAACAACUUUGUAUACGUCCUAAGCCCCUACACAGGAUAUACAUAUGUAUAGACAGAC
rnacentral:lncRNA from 1 species